UGCUUUCUUGCUCGGUCUUCACAAUGGCUUUCACUCUCCUGGAUUUGUCACUGUUCAACCAGCUUCUUCUUUUGAGAGCUUUACCAGAAUCAAUGCUACCAA